UACAGAGGGUGCAAGCGUUGUUCGGAAUUAUUGGGCGUAAAGCGCACGUAGGCGGCUCCGCAAGUCGGAUGUGAAAUCCCUCGGCUCAACCAAGGAAGUGCAUCCGAAACUGCAGAGCUUGAGUACCAAAGAGGAUCGCGGAAUUCCCGGUGUAGAGGUGAAAUUCGUAGAUAUCGGGAGGAACACCAGUGGCGAAGGCGGCGAUCUGGGUGGAUACUGACGCUGAGGUGCGAAAGCGUGGGGAGCAAACAGG
rnacentral:rRNA from 1 species